rnacentral:lncRNA from 1 species
GCUGAAUGUUCCUAAAAUGGAAAGCAGAUUGCAAUCAACGCAGACAAAAUGCAAUAUGAAAGACAUGCCUAUAUGGAUAAAUCUCUCGGCGCACACUAAUCAGAAAAUUUUUAUUUGCUAUCACAUUAUUAGCAAGUAAAGCAUGUCUUGGAUAACUACUCGCCAGUCGGAACCAGACCAUCAUACACCUUGGUCGAUGCCCAUUCAAUCUCUCGGACCCUCAUAUAUGGUCCAGUUGGCUAGACUAAUCUUUACCGGAGGCAGAAUUUAUUUUCACAGUAUCGCAGAUUCACAAUCCAGGGAGAAGAAUAUCAACAGAGCAUGUGAAGCUUAUUAGGACAGUCGAUAAACAUCUACCAGGACUCAACUAAACAGUCCAAAAAGAUCAACCACAAGGGACCUCUCGCAAUUUUCAGAUAACAAUAUUUAGCGCACUCUCGGGCAUCUUAAGAGAGUUCAUUUUCUAUUAUCCUUGAGCCUUCAUUAACAAAACCAUUGAAGUGGCCCGAGAGAUUACGCUGCCCCUCUUGCAGGUGCAAUCAGUGUUUACAAGGUGAUCCUAUUAGACAGUGAUUAAAAUAGACGUAACAAGUACCAGCUAAUUUUACUGCAAUAAACAUGUUAGGUGGGAGUGGCAGAGAAGAAAUGGAUGCUAGCGGAGAAGGGAUGUGGGGCCGGAAGGCGUGGCUUAUUAUCAAGAAGUCUCUUUACACGAUUUACCUCCCUCACGAUACUUCAAAGGCGGGGCGGUGGGGACCCUCAAGGUUGGGGUUCAACCUUUUUUUAAGAAGUCUCUUAACACUAAAACCCAAAUUCUAGACACAUACAAAUUGACAGGGAAAAGUAUAACUACUAAAACUUGGAUAACUUAGCCUAGUUAAUCUCUUCCUUCCCUAUCUCAGAAUUUCCG